rnacentral:misc_RNA from 1 species
AAGACUAUAGACCUGCGGAGUACCUGCGGAAGGAUCAUUACCGAGUUCUCGCCCCUCGCGGGGUAGACCUCCCACCCACUGUGAUCACUACCGUCGUUGCUUUGGCGGGCCGCUGGGCCCAGCCCACCGCCGGCCCCGGCUGGCGCGUGCCCGCCAGAGGCCCUACAAACGCUGGAUAUCAGUGCCGUCUGAGUACACAUGUUAAUCGUUAAAACUUUCAACAAUGGAUCUCUAGAUCGG